AUAUUAUUAAGGGGAGGAAAAGAAACUAACAAGGAUUCCCUCAGUAACGGCGAGUGAAGCGGGAAAAGCUCAAGUUUAAAAUCCGCAGGUCUAACAGCCUGUGGAGUUGUAACCUAGCGAGCCUCUCUCAGUGCCAGCCUGGUCGUAAGUCCUCUGAAACGAGGCAUCAUAGAGGGUGAAAAUCCCGUAUAUGCCGGAGUUAGGUACGUACGAGGAGGUUUCCAAGAGUCGCGUUGCUUGGGAGUGCAGCGCUAAAUGGGUGGUAAAGUUCAUCUAAAGCUAAAUACUGGCGCGAGACCGAUAGCGCACAAGUA
rnacentral:rRNA from 1 species